AACGUAGGAGACAAACGUUAUCCGGAGUUACUGGGCGUAAAGGGCGUGUAGGUGGUUGCGUAAGUCUGGCGUGAAAUUUUUCGGCUUAACCGGGAAAGGUCGUCGGAUACUGCGUAGCUAGAGGACAGUAGAGGCGUGUGGAAUUCCGGGUGUAGUGGUGAAAUGCGUAGAGAUCCGGAGGAACACCAGUGGCGAAGGCGACACGCUGGGCCGUACCUGACACUGAUGCGCGACAGCAUGGGGAGCAAACAGG
rnacentral:rRNA from 1 species